rnacentral:rRNA from 1 species
CCUACGGGUGGCAGCAGUGGGGAAUAUUGCACAAUGGGGGGAACCCUGAUGCAGCAACGCCGCGUGGGUGAAGAAGUACUCCGGUAUGUAAAGCCCUGUCAGCAGGGAAGAAAAUGACGGUACCUGACCAAGAAGCCCCGGCUAACUACGUGCCAGCAGCCGCGGUAAUACGUAGGGGGCAAGCGUUAUCCGGAUUUACGGGGUGUAAAGGGAGCGCAGGCGGCGCGUUAAGCAUGGUGUGAAAGCCCGCGGCCCAACCGCGGGACUGCAUUGGGAACUGGCGCGCUGGAGUGCCGGAGGGGUAGGCGGAAUUCCUAGUGUAGCGGUGAAAUGCGUAGAUAUUAGGAGGAACACCAGUGGCGAAGGCGGCCUACUGGACGGUGACUGACGCUGAGGCUCGAAAGCGUGGGGAGCAAACAGGAUUAGAUACCCCUGUAGUC